rnacentral:rRNA from 1 species
CCUACGGGUGACAGCAGUGGGGAAUAUUGCACAAUGGGGGAAACCCUGAUGCAGCGACGCCGCGUGAAGGAAGAAGUAUUUCGGUAUGUAAACUUCUAUCAGCAGGGAAGAAAAUGACGGUACCUGACUAAGAAGCCCCGGCUAACUCCGUGCCAGCAGCCGCGGUAAUACGUAGGGGGCAAGCGUUAUCUGGAUUUAUUGGGUUUAAAGGGUGCGUAGGUUGUGAGGUAAGUCAGCGGUGAAAUGCCCCCGCUCAACGGGGUGAAGUGCCAUUGAUACUGCCUUGCUGGAAUGCGGCUGCCGUGGGAGGAAUGUGUGGUGUAGCGGUGAAAUGCAUAGAUAUCACACAGAACACCGAUUGCGAAGGCAUCUCACGAAUCCGCGAUUGACGCUGAUGCACGAAAGCGUGGGUAUCAAACAGGAUUAGAUACCCUUGUAGUC